rnacentral:rRNA from 1 species
GGGGCGGCGUGCUUACCAUGCAAGUCGACGGUGAACACGGAGCUUGCUCUGUGGGAUCAGUGGCGAACGGGUGAGUAACACGUGAGCAACCUGCCCCUGACUCUGGGAUAAGCGCUGGAAACGGCGUCUAAUACUGGAUAUGUGACGUGACCGCAUGGUCUGCGUUUGGAAAGAUUUUUCGGUUGGGGAUGGGCUCGCGGCCUAUCAGCUUGUUGGUGAGGUAAUGGCUCACCAAGGCGUCGACGGGUAGCCGGCCUGAGAGGGUGACCGGCCACACUGGGACUGAGACACGGCCCAGACUCCUACGGGAGGCAGCAGUGGGGAAUAUUGCACAAUGGGCGCAAGCCUGAUGCAGCAACGCCGCGUGAGGGAUGACGGCCUUCGGGUUGUAAACCUCUUUUAGCAGGGAAGAAGCGAAAGUGACGGUACCUGCAGAAAAAGCGCCGGCUAACUACGUGCCAGCAGCCGCGGUAAUACGUAGGGCGCAAGCGUUAUCCGGAAUUAUUGGGCGUAAAGAGCUCGUAGGCGGUUUGUCGCGUCUGCUGUGAAAUCCGGAGGCUCAACCUCCGGCCUGCAGUGGGUACGGGCAGACUAGAGUGCGGUAGGGGAGAUUGGAAUUCCUGGUGUAGCGGUGGAAUGCGCAGAUAUCAGGAGGAACACCGAUGGCGAAGGCAGAUCUCUGGGCCGUAACUGACGCUGAGGAGCGAAAGGGUGGGGAGCAAACAGGCUUAGAUACCCUGGUAGUCCACCCCGUAAACGUUGGGAACUAGUUGUGGGGUCCAUUCCACGGAUUCCGUGACGCAGCUAACGCAUUAAGUUCCCCGCCUGGGGAGUACGGCCGCAAGGCUAUACUCAGAGAUAUAUAUAC